CCUACGGGUGGCUGCAGUGGGGAAUAUUGCUCAAUGUGGGCAAGCCUGAUGCAGCAACGCCGCGUGAGGGAUGACGUAUCUAGGUGUGUAAAGCUCUAUCAGCAAGGAAGUAAAUUACAGUACCUGACUAUUAAGCUCCGGCUAACUACGUGCCAGCAGCCGCGGUAAUACGCAGGGAGCAAGCGUUAUCCGGAUUUACUGGGCGUAAGGGGAGCGUAGACGGCUGGGCAAGUCAGAAGUGAAAGCCUGGGGCUCAACCGUAGGACUGCUGUUGAAACUGUGUAUCUUGAGUGCAGGAGAGGUAAGUGGAAUUCGUAGUGUAGCGGUGAAAUGCGUAGAUAUUAGGAAGAACACCGGUGGCGAAGGCGGCUUACUGGACUGUAACUGACAUUGAGGCUCGAAAGCGUGGGUAGCAAACAGGAUUAGAUACCCCUGUAGUC
rnacentral:rRNA from 1 species